UUCCAAGUGUCACCCAACCCAAACGGCACUGGGAAUGGGAAGGCCUGUGAACACGUGUCCCUGGAACUUCGGGCAGCCGGACGCCGGGAAGUGCUGAUUCUGGAAGGGGGUGUGGCCGGCAGAACAGCUGUGUCUCCUGUGGGAUCGUGCGUGGACAUCAUCCCCGAGCCUCUGUCACCUGAGGCAGUGGAUUCAUUCCGGCAAGUACACUAGCCCGAGGCGCCUGGGAAUGGGUUCGGGUGACUUGAUAAGUCUGGUUCAACAGUCACGCUUCUGUGAUCAAGGGAAACACGGCGCUAACGGAUCCACAGGGAACUUGCUGCACGUGACCUUCAUUAAGAGACCUGAGGCCCUUGGAUGAGAUGACCCGCCAGCAUAGUCACCAGCUCCCAGGAAGCAGUGCGGGUCGUGGGGCGCACACAGCCAGGCCCCGAAUUCCAGCCCAUUGGUCCUGAAGGAAAUGUUCUGAUCCGUUUCUCUUCUUCAGCAGAACCACCUCUCAGAAGGGGGAGGGAUUACGCGCUGGGGUCACAGUAAAGCCUUAAAGCCCUAGGAAUGUUGUAAGAAAUGAAAUGUGGAAGAGAUCACACAAUGCCUGGGUAUUCAGCGUGUCAUUAUCAAGAGGCGAGAAUUUAGGAAGGAGCGCCAUAUUGGAAAUCAGCUUAAUACAUCUAAGAACACUGUCAAGUGACUUGGAUGCAAACCCAAGAACGAGAGAGCAUCCCUGGGAGUGGCAGUCUGUGCAGCAGGCAGAAUCUGUGAUAAAGGGGAUGUGAGACCUAUGGCCCAGUGCCCAGUCGAUGGUAAAUGUUUAAUCAACGCUUCACUGAAAUGAGAGAGAGACUGCCAUGCACGUGUGCAGUAUCGUCAGACUGUC